GGGCGUAAAGCGUGCGUAGGCGGCUUUUUAAGUCGGAUGUGAAAUCCCUGAGCUUAACUUAGGAAUUGCAUUCGAUACUGGGAAGCUAGAGUAUGGGAGAGGAUGGUAGAAUUCCAGGUGUAGCGGUGAAAUGCGUAGAGAUCUGGAGGAAUACCGAUGGCGAAGGCAGCCAUCUGGCCUAAUACUGACGCUGAGGUACGAAAGCAUGGGGAGCAAACAGGAUUAGAUACCCUGGUAGUCCAUGCCGUAAACGAUGUCUACUAGCCGUUGGGGCCUUUGAGGCUUUAGUGGCGCAGCUAACGCGAUAAGUAGACCGCCUGGGGAGUACGGUCGCAAGACUAAAACUCAAAUGAAUUGACGG
rnacentral:rRNA from 1 species